rnacentral:rRNA from 1 species
GACAGAGGUGCCAAGCGUUAGGCGGAAUCACUGGGCUUAAAGCGUGUGUAGGCGGACUUGUAAGUACCUUGUGAAAUCCCACGGCUCACCCGUGGAACGGCUGGGUAGACUGGCGGUCUUGGGCCACCUAGGGGCAGAUGGAACAGACGGUGGAGCGGUGAAAUGCGUAGAUAUCGGCUGGAACGCCAAAGGUGAAAACAGUCUGCUGGGGGUGUGCCGACGCUGAGACACGAAAGCCAGGGGAGCGAACGGG